UACGUAGGGUGCAAGCGUUGUCCGGAAUUAUUGGGCGUAAAGAGCUCGUAGGCGGUCUGUCGCGUCGGAUGUGAAAACCCAGGGCUCAACCCUGGGCCUGCAUUCGAUACGGGCAGGCUGGAGUUCGGUAGGGGAGACUGGAAUUCCUGGUGUAGCGGUGAAAUGCGCAGAUAUCAGGAGGAACACCGGUGGCGAAGGCGGGUCUCUGGGCCGAUACUGACGCUGAGGAGCGAAAGCGUGGGGAGCGAACAGG
rnacentral:rRNA from 1 species